rnacentral:rRNA from 1 species
ACCCGCACAAGCGGUGGAUGAUGUGGAUUAAUUCGAUGCAACGCGAAAACCUUACCUACCCUUGACAUGUCCGGAAUCCCGAAGAGAUUUGGGAGUGCUCGCAAGGGAACCGGAACACAGGUGCUGCAUGGCUGUCGUCAGCUCGUGUCGUGAGAUGUUGGGUUAAGUCCCGCAACGAGCGCAACCCUUAUCAUUAGUUGCUACGCAAGGGCACUCUAAUGAGACUGCCGGUGACAAACCGGAGGAAGGUGGGGAUGACGUCAAGUCCUCAUGGCCCUUAUGGGUAGGGCUUCACACGUACUACAAUGGCCGGUACAAAGGGCAGCCACUUAGCGAUAAGGAGCCAAUCCCGUAAAGCCGGUCUCAGUCCGGAUUGGAGUCUGCAACUCGACUCCAUGAAGUUGGAAUCGCUAGUAAUCGCAGAUCAGCACGCUGCGGUGAAUACGUUCCCGGGCCUU